AAAAGGAUUGCAGGAGAUUGAACCAUCCCUGUUGAGGUUGGAAAGAAGUCAAAGAGCUAUAUCUGCUCCGAGUGGAAACAAGAGCUGGUAACCUUCUCUCAGUUUCUUGAGAGGAUCAGUUCCACCGACUGUCCUGUUCCGCCGACUGUCCUGCCAACUUGACAUACCUUGCCCAACAUCCCUUGUUUGAUCAAUAUGAGUGCUGCAUAAUGACGUAAUGAUUCCAGACUAUUGUUUUGCUGGUGGUGGGGAACUCGAGUCUCUAUUGAUUUGGUCGACUUGGAAGUUGGAACAGUAACACGACUGCACUAUGAUCCACAUAUCAUAAUCUUUUUUGCUCAGGUAU